rnacentral:lncRNA from 1 species
AUCUUUAUGAGAUAAGGACUAGCUUUUUUUGGUUGAUUGGUUCUUGAUUUGGAAUCAAGAUAAGACCUCUAUAUAAGAGAUGGUCUCCUAGGAUUUUAGAAUGAAUUCAUUAUUGAAUUUUUGUGAUCUCUCUCUCCUCCCAUGCCUCACCUUCUCUCCCUAUUCUCUUUCCAACAUGCAAGGGUUGGGCAUCCAUCAUCCACACGCC